UACGGGGGGGGCAAGCGUUGUUCGGAAUUACUGGGCGUAAAGCGCACGUAGGCGGCUUGGUAUGUCGGGUGUGAAAUCCCCGGGCUCAACCUGGGAACUGCAUCCGAAACUGCCUUGCUCGAGUAUGGGAGAGGGAAGUGGAAUUUCCGGUGUAGCGGUGAAAUGCGUAGAUAUCGGAAGGAACAUCAGUGGCGAAGGCGACUUCCUGGACCAAUACUGACGCUCAGGUGCGAAAGCGUGGGGAGCAAACAGG
rnacentral:rRNA from 1 species